GCGCACCAGGCGCGAAACCUUUACAAUAUCUUCACGGACGAUAGGGGAAUCCUGAGUGCUCUAGCAUUGCUAGAGCUUUUGCUUACUGAAAAAGGUAGGCGAAUAAGUGGUGGGUAAGACGGGUGCCAGCCGCCGCGGUAAUACCCGCGCCACAAGUGGUGACCACGUUUAUUGGGUCUAAAGCGUUCGUAGCCGGCCUGAUAAAUUCUCGGUGAAAUCCCUGUGUAAAUCAUAGGGCGUGCCGGGAAGACUGUCAAGCUAGGAACCGGGAGAGGCUGAGGGUACUCCAGGAGUAGGGGUUAAAUGCCGUUAUGGUUUAACCCUACGGUUUAACAAUCCUGUAAUUCUUGGAGGACCACCGGUGGCGAA
rnacentral:rRNA from 1 species